UGUGCAGGGAUUGUGUGUAUCGGCGUUGUGCAAAAUCAGUGCACGGUGUCCGAAAGUGUUCCCUGCAACAACGAUUUCAUACGGGGAAGGUGGGCAGUUGUGUUUCAUUCCUCCUGUUGAAACUUCAACAAUCAUCUUCCCCACAUCC